rnacentral:rRNA from 1 species
CACGUAGGUGGUUUUGUAAGUCGGAUGUGAAAUCCCCGGGCUUAACCCGGGAACUGCAUUCGAGACUGCAUUACUCGAGUAUGGGAGAGGGAAGCGGAAUUUCCGGUGUAGCGGUGAAAUGCGUAGAUAUCGGAAGGAACAUCAGUGGCGAAAGCGGCUUCCUGGCCCAAUACUGACACUCAUGUGCGAAAGCGUGGGGAGCAAACA